UACGAAGGGUGCAAGCGUUAAUCGGAAUUACUGGGCGUAAAGGGUGCGUAGGCGGUUCGUUAAGUCUGUCGUGAAACCCCCGGGCUCAACCUGGGAAUGGCGAUGGAUACUGGCGAGCUAGAGUGUGUCAGAGGAUGGUGGAAUUCCCGGUGUAGCGGUGAAAUGCGUAGAGAUCGGGAGGAACAUCAGUGGCGAAGGCGGCCAUCUGGGACAACACUGACGCUGAAGCACGAAAGCGUGGGGAGCAAACAGG
rnacentral:rRNA from 1 species